rfam:Paraphaeosphaeria sporulosa strain AP3s5-JAC2a unplaced genomic scaffold CC84scaffold_2, whole genome shotgun sequence.
GGGCUUGUGGUUUAGUGGUAUAAUUUUCCCUUAGCAUUUGUAUCUCGUCCCUAGACGCGUUUCGAAAGCGUGGGAAAGGUCCUGGGUUCGAUUCCCAGCAAGUCCA